CAGAGGCAUCUCAAAAAUACCGACAUUUGAAAAAAAGGAAUUAAAAUGCUCUGCAGCUGCCCUUUUGGACCAAAUUCUGGAUAGCUAUAUAACUAUAUAGCUCAUAUAAUGGAGUUCCAGUGUAUGAAGGGUUAGGAAAGAGGUGCAGCGUGAAACCCCGUGUACUACGCUGGACAAACGCUGCAUUGUCUCGAUUCACAUCGCUGGUGGUGAAACAGCGCUCCCUGAUGUCCAACAAGAGACUCGGGAAGUCCAAAAGCUCCAUUCUUCCCGAUAUUUUUGGAUGAAAAAAUUGUAGUUAAUAAAAAGCAAAGUUACUCCA
rnacentral:lncRNA from 1 species